UUCAUUUACAAACAGAUCACAAACUGGGAGCCAUGUGGAAAGAAGACUGGAUUGGGAAUUAGUCAGGAUCCUGCCCUGGGUUUCAUCCAGAUUACUCUACCAGUCAGCCAUCUGGUAUCAAUUGAAGAUAACCAUGAGAUACGUCUUUUAAGGUGGCUCUGUGUAUGUCUGACAGCUGAAGUUUGAGAUGACUUUUCUGCAUUGUCUAAAAGAGCAGGAAAAGAUGUCUCAGCCUCUCUCCAGAAAUGCAGUCCUAACUGGUCAGUCAGGAACUUUCUGGUCAGCAGCAGUAAGGUGGCCUGCCGCAUGGACCUUCUCCAUCCCCCAGAGGAAGAUGAGGCCUCAGACCUCCUCCUGGACUUCAUUCAACUGCCACUUAGUUGUCCUUAUAAGAAGAGGAAAUUUGGACACAGACACAGACAGAGGGAAGACCACAUGAACAGACGAAAGGAGAUGGCCAUCUUCAAUCCAAGGACAGAGACCUGGCCGCAUCCUUCCCCACAGCUCUCAGGAGGAGCCAGCCCUGCUCACACCUUGAUCUCAGACUUCCAGCCUACAGAGUUGUGAGACAGUGAAUAACUGUUGUUCCGUUGCCCUGUCUUCCUACUUUGUUAUGGCAACCCUAGAGAAUUAAUGCAUACAAAUAAAACAAAAAGUAAAAUGGCAAAUGUAAAUCUAACUACAUCUAUAGUAACACCCAAUGUGAAUGGAUUAAACAUUCCAAACAAAAAGCAGAGAUUGCCAGACUGAAUAACAACACAAGACCCAACUAUAUGUCAUUUAAAAGAGACACACUUUAGAUUCAAAGAUACAGAUAGACUGUAAACAAAAGGAUGGGAAAAGAUGUACCCUAUAAAUAGCAACCAUAAAAAAGCUGGGGUGACCAUACUGCCAUAAUGGCAGGCAAAACAGACUUUAAAACAAAAAUAAGUUAACAAAAAUAAAGACAUUUUUAUUAAACCAAAAGAUCAAUUCAUCAGGAGGAUAGAGUAAUUAUAAAAAUACAUGUGUCUACCAUGUUGCUCAUGUGAAACCUUAAUAAGAUUGUAUAUCGAUGAUACCUUAAUUAAAAAAAAAUACUGAGUCCAAAAACAGAGCCUGAAACAUCUGAAGCAAAAAGUAAAGAAAAUGAAAGAAGAAAUAGAUAACCAACAAUCAUUAGAGACUUUAAUACUGUAAUUUCAAUAAAAUAAAUAGGCAAAAGAAGAAAAAAUAGAAAGGUUGAACACCACCAUGAACCAGUGAGGCCUAACAACUGCACAAUAAAGAUUCUUCACAAGUGCACGUGGGACUUCUCCACAGAGGUCCAUAUGUUAAACAAUAAAACAAAUCUCAGUAAAUUUAAAGGAAUUUAAAUCAUACAAAUGAUGAUAUCCACGAUGGAAUUAACUUAGAAGUCAGUAGCAGAAAGAAAUUUGGGGAAUUCACAAAUGUGUUGAUAUUAACCCACUCCUAAACAUCCAGUAGGUCAAAGAAGCCAAGAGGGAAAUUGGAGAAAAGUUUGAAAUGAAUGAAAAUUAAGAUAUAAUAUAGCAAAAGUUAUGAUAUUCAGAUAAAGAUAACUUAAGACACGCUUAGAGGGAAAUGUAUAGCCUAUAUUAAAAAAAAGGAAAAAUCUCUUAUCAAUCACCUAACAUUCCACUUUAAGAAACUAGAAAAAGAAGAGCACAUUAACUCUAAAACAAGCAAAAAGAAAGAAAAAAAUAUUAAAGUAAAAUUAAUAAACUGAGCAAUAGAGAAAAAUUUUUAAAUCCAAACAAUUCUUUGGAAAAAAUCAACCUUUAGGUAAACUCACACACACAAAAAAAGAGAAGACUCACAUUACCAAUAUCAGGAUGAAAAAGGGGACAUAACUACUGACCUUAUAGAAAUAAGAAGACUAAAAGGAUACACUAUGGACACUACAGUUGUAUGUCAACAAAUGAGAUGAUCUAGAAAAAAUGAACAAAUUCCUAGAAAGACAAACUACUAAAAGUGACUCAAGAAGCAACAGAAAAUCUGAAUAGGUCUAGAACAAGAGAUUAAGUAGUAGUAACUAUUUUAAAAAGUUAAUGCCUAAUGAUGGAAGGGGAACAUUUUGGCCUGGUACAGAGUCAACUUCCACUUCAUAGGUUGGUUCCUGGUAGUUUGUGGGACACCCCUAAUGAGAGAAGGACUGGUACAGAGUCCACUUCUCAUAGCUCCUCUGUGCAUGGAAGGUACCUAUUUCCUUACCACGGUUCUCAGCCUCUCUUUUUCUCUUAUUGAGACUUGGCUGCUGAGAGAACUCAUUCUGCUAAGCUUGAAUCCAAGUCUUGGAGCAAGGCAGACCCACUGAUUAGUGGUAAAACAAUAAUCACAUAGGUUACUACUGCUGUAUGUAAAUUCUACCUCUCAAGGUUAGGAAAUGUCAACCUAAAGGAAGCCUAACAGGGUUCCUCAGUGUAGGAUUUCUCAGAGCCUUCAGUAUGCUCUUGAGCCUUGACUGUCCUCAAGGAGACAUUUAAAAUUUGCAGUAUUUCCCAAGCUUAUUUGGCUAGAAAACAGUUUCUCACAGAGCAUUUCAUGGAGCUAAUGUUCUAUAGAGAAACACUGGUGUAGCCCAGUGCAUUCAUUUUAGAGA